CCCGAAGCUUCGCGGGGCCGUCUGUCGCGAGCCGGCUGGUUGGGCUGCACAAACACGUGGCCGCACUGUACCCGCACUGUACCCGCACGUGGCGCAAGAUGGCGUGCUCCUUAGGAAGUUUUAUCAAGGAUUCUUGUGGGUCAGGUCGCCGUGAUCAACACCACAUGGCAUUCAUAGCUGUUUGUGACGACCAAGGGUGAAAAGUGCACAAGCCCACCUGAGCUGUCUUGACUUGCUGUCCCAUGGAUCUUCACCCUGGGCAUCUGCUGAGAACCAUGGCAGGAGACUCAUUGACGGCACACCCGGCCUCUUGCUGUCCACGGAUCGUCACCCUGGGCCAUCUGCUCAGAACGCCGACAGGAGGUGCUGAUGGGUGCUGGUGGUGACGUGGCGCUGCACGGAUACGAGAUGGGAGCACUUUGAAUAAUACACGAUGAAUGUGUUGUUACCAUGCCUAGCAAUGCAUCAACAGAGCGCUGUUGUUGAUCUUUGUUAUACACCCUGGCUUCUCCCCCCUCAACCAGUCUAUAUACGAGGUCGGAUCUCUCGGAAUUUCUCAUUUACAUGAUACAGGAAGCGUGCUGUGACGAUACAAUAAACAUUUUUUAAAAUAAAUAUUUUAUGUUUUGAACA